rnacentral:rRNA from 1 species
GUAGGGAAUCUUCCACAAUGGACGAAAGUCUGAUGGAGCAACGCCGCGUGAGUGAAGAAGGUUUUCGGAUCGUAAAACUCUGUUGUUGGAGAAGAACGUAUUUGAUAGUAACUGAUCAGGUAGUGACGGUAUCCAACCAGAAAGCCACGGCUAACUACGUGCCAGCAGCCGCGGUAAUACGUAGGUGGCAAGCGUUGUCCGGAUUUAUUGGGCGUAAAGCGAGCGCAGGCGGUUUCUUAAGUCUGAUGUGAAAGCCUUCGGCUCAACCGAAGAAGUGCAUCGGAAACUGGGAAACUUGAGUGCAGAAGAGGACAGUGGAACUCCAUGUGUAGCGGUGAAAUGCGUAGAUAUAUGGAAGAACACCAGUGGCGAAGGCGGCUGUCUGGUCUGUAACUGACGCUGAGGCUCGAAAGCAUGGGUAGCAAACAGGAUUAGAUACCCUAGUAGUCC